UACGGAGGGUGCAAGCGUUAUCCGGAUUCACUGGGUUUAAAGGGUGCGUAGGUGGGCAGGUAAGUCCGUGGUGAAAUCCCCGAGCUUAACUUGGGAACUGCCGUUGAUACUAUCUGUCUUGAAUAUCGUGGAGGUUAGCGGAAUAUGUCAUGUAGCGGUGAAAUGCAUAGAGAUGACAUAGAACACCAAUUGCGAAGGCAGCUGGCUACGCGGUAAUUGACACUGAGGCACGAAAGCGUGGGGAGCAAACAGG
rnacentral:rRNA from 1 species